rnacentral:miRNA from 1 species
GAUCUUUUGAGAGGGUUCCAG